rnacentral:tRNA from 1 species
GGAGAGGUGGCAGAGUGGUCGAAUGCACCGGUUUCGAAAACCGGCAAGGGCGCAAGCUCUUCGGGAGUUCGAAUCUCCCCCUCUCCG